CCGGAAAAGUGGGCUGGCGUCAAGGCACCCGGAGGCCGAGGGAACGCGAGAUGAGGCGAAUCGUCUACGAACUGUCCACUAUCGCAACAAUACACUCAGAAACAAACAGCCACAGAGGAGAGAGAAGGACAAAUCAGAGCUGGACGUUACUCAGUAAGGUCACCUUGAGUCAAAAUGGAGAGCACAUCCACAGAGGAGAAGAAGCAGCCAUGAGGAGGAGAAGGAGGAGGAAGGAGCACGGAGGAGGGGGCGCGGGGUGCAGGAGGAGGACAGCGGUCAUGCUGGAGGAUACGUACCCCGCUUGGCUACAAUCUCGAUAGGGCAGCACUGAAAAUACACUAUAGAAGGAUCUUCUGCCACUGAUUAGGACUAUCCUACAAAAACAAAACAAGCUCAUCAGAUUUGAGGUCUGGCUUUGUUUGAAGUUUUGCUGCCGUCCAGUGUCGUUUAAAUGUCAUGUUCAGUGGAUGUACAACAUGGACACGCCCCUCAAACUCAAUGUUUUCAGAACAUUUAGUUGAAACAAGCCAAGACCAAGGGAAAGAAGUAACAGAUGGAGAUUAUGGUUUAAAAAAAUAGAUAGGUCAAAAAUGUUUUCCGUAUGCUACAGGUGCUUAUCUCACACGGAACCUAGUAAAAUAGAGACAAGAAGUGUAAUUGCCUUGCCAAUUAGCCACACGUCGACGCUGCUGGAUAGUGAAUGUCAUGAUUUUAGCUGAACGCGUGAUAUUUUUAUUCAAAACAGGGUCCUUGGUUUACGAUGAUCCAAAUGAAGAGGUUUCCAGAUUGAACUAGUUUAUUUUACAUUUACGGCACAACUAUUUCAUGUAAUUAAUACUGCGCUAGCUUCACAAAGUGAUCGGCUACUGUGACAUUUCCACUAACAUACAAAAUGGGUUGUAAACCAAGGAUCUCCAGUCAUAAUACAAACUGAUCAACCUGUAAAUGAAAUAUUUGUCUUGGUUGAAAAAAUAUGAAUAAAGACCAGGAUUUAUGCUUAAUAAGCUAUUUUCAUACAAAUAUUUUCUAUACUUCUGACUUAAGGGUUGCGUUCACAUAAAGGAACACGCUGACUUGGGCUUAGUUUUCUUGUCUAUAUUAUUUACCUCAAUAGAAAACAAGCUACAUUCUAAAAAGGAAAAAAAUGAAGGUGCCAGGUUUUGCAUUUGUUCUUCUCUACAGCCAAACGCAACUGAUUUGUUCCGCAAUGUGCAAGGUUCUGCAACUUGUUUUCCCGAGUGGCCAUGGUUGGAAGUUUAAAGUUUCCGAAUGGUGACACAAUGUUGCAGAUACAACGUCUAAUCAAAAAUGUUAUGUCCUGUCACCGGAUCUUUCACAACUAAAAUGACAUUUUCUGUACCAGGUGAGAACCAGCCGAUUUCUGCUUAGCCGUACGGAUACAGUCUAGAUCAGGGGUGCCCAUUAGGUAUAUCCUGAUCUACCGGUAGAUCUAAGACAGGUCCCAAGUAGAUCCGAGGAGUGUCGAGAAGAAAAAAAAACAAACAACCAUUUGUGUGUCUUUGUACAUGUUAGUAAUAUAUUUUUUGUGUUAAUAUACACUGCCCCCUAAUCAUCUUAUCAGUCUCAUUUUCACUAUUUUUUUUUAAUAAAAUAAAGCAGGUAAAUCUUAAAUUUGCGGUGGCGCGUGAUUACGUCACCGGAAGUUGUUAGCGCUCAGCAGUUUGCAAUUGCAGCUUGUGAUCAGAGCUGUUGCGCUCUAUCUUUUAUUGUCAUGAUUCUCAUUCAGAGUUUGCUUCUUGUACAAUUCACCGAUGGCAUGAGCAAAGAAUAGGAUUCUAGGAGGGCCCAGGGAAGCAGUUUAAAACAGUACGUGUUAGCUACGAAAGUUAACAGGCUGCAAAAGUGCGUGGCAUGCCUCUGUUUCAGGCUGUUUUUCAUCAUGGCGCGUGUGUGUGUGUGUGUGUGUGUGUGUGUGUGUGUGUGUGUUUGUGCGCGUGCGCAUGCGCGUGCCGGUAAGGGUAGAACCCGGGAGGUUAGUUGAUCGAAAAGUAGAUCUUUGAUCCAAAAAGUAUGGGCACCCCUGGUCUAGAUCGUAUCUUGUGUUUUACAAUAUUAAGUAAGUACGUUGAUAAUGUCACAAGUACCUUUGUCCAAAAAGCGAUGCGUGGAGAGUCUCUGUCAUAAAAUACACAAGCGCAGUCCAUAAAAGGGGCUGCCAUUACUUUCAGACUCUUAAAAAUCAAAACUCUUAUUUGUUGCCCAUUUCCUCCACCCUUUGUAUUAUCGUAAUACAUAGUACUAUGUGAAGCUUAAAAACAAAGUUUCCAGGUAAUAACACCAGGGGUCGGCAUUUUCCCCAUUGCACCGAGUUGUUUACCUGUGUGAGGGUCAAUCACCAGCUGCACAAGUGUCAAUCACUUGUAAUUUGUUUGUGAUUGGCCUUACUGUACCCAAAGUGAACCAAACAGCCACCUUACAAAGACGCUUAUUGAAACAAUACCUAAAUUAAAUGUAAAUUUCCCCAGUGUGGGACGAAUAAAGGAUAUCUUAUCUUAAUGGUGUGCCAUUACACUCCUAGUAAAGUUUCAAAAUGAU